CGGACGGGUGAGUAAUGCCUGGGAAUAUGCCUUAGUGUGGGGGAUAACUAUUGGAAACGAUAGCUAAUACCCGCAUAAUGNCUUCGGACCAAAGAGGGGGACCUUCGGGCCUCUCGCGCUAAGAUUAGCCCAGGUGAGAUUAGCUAGUUGGUGAGGUAAGAGCUCACCAAGGCGACGAUCUCUAGCUGGUCUGAGAGGAUGAUCGAGCCACACUGGAACUGAGACACGGUCCAGACUCCUACGGGAGGCAGCAGUGGGGAAUAUUGCACAAUGGGCGAAAGCCUGAUGCAGCCAUGCCGCGUGUAUGAAGAAGGCCUUCGGGUUGUAAAGUACUUUCAGUAGGGAGGAAGGCGUUGUCGUUAAUAGCGGCUUCGUUUGACGUUACCUACAGAAGAAGCACCGGCUAACUCCGUGCCAGCAGCCGCGGUAAUACGGAGGGUGCGAGCGUUAAUCGGAAUUACUGGGCGUAAAGCGCAUGCAGGUGGUUCAUUAAGUCAGAUGUGAAAGCCCGGGGCUCAACCUCGGAACCGCAUUUGAAACUGGUGAACUAGAGUGCUGUAGAGGGGGGUAGAAUUUCAGGUGUAGCGGUGAAAUGCGUAGAGAUCUGAAGGAAUACCAGUGGCGAAGGCGGCCCCCUGGACAGACACUGACACUCAGAUGCGAAAGCGUGGGGAGCAAACAGGAUUAGAUACCCURGUAGUCCACGCCGUAAACGAUGUCUACUUGGAGGUUGUUCCCUUGAGGAGUGGCUUUCGGAGCCUAACGSGUUAAGUAGACCGCCUGGGGAGUACGGUCGCAAGAUUAAAACUCAAAUGAAUUGACGGGAGCCCGCACAAGCGGUGGAGCAUGUGGUUUAAUUCGAUGCAACGCGAAGAACCUUACCUACUCUUGACAUCCAGAGAAUUCGCUAGAGAUAGCUUAGUGCCUUCGGGAACUCUGAGACAGGUGCUGCAUGGCUGUCGUCAGCUCGUGUUGUGAAAUGUUGGGUUAAGUCCCGCAACGAGCGCAACCCUUAUCCUUGUUUGCCAGCACG
rnacentral:rRNA from 1 species